CGCGUAGGCGGCCUGGUAAGUCUGGAGUGGAAGUCCUGCUUUUAAGGUGGGAAUUGCUUUGGAUACUGCUGGGCUUGAGUGCAGGAGAGGUAAGUGGAAUUCCCGGUGUAGCGGUGAAAUGCGUAGAGAUCGGGAGGAACACCAGUGGCGAAGGCGACUUACUGGACUGUAACUGACGCUGAGGCGCGAAAGUGUGGGGAGCAAACA
rnacentral:rRNA from 1 species